CCAGACUCCUACGGGAGGCAGCAGUGGGGGAUAUUGCACAAUGGGGGGAACCCUGAUGCAGCGACGCCGCGUGGGUGAAGGAGCGUUUCGGCGCGUAAAGCCCUAUCGGCAGGGAAGAAGAUGACGGUACCUGACCAAGAAGCCCCGCCUAACUACGUGCCAGCAGCCGCGGUAAUACGUAGGGGGCAAGCGUUAUCCGGUUUUAUUGGGUUUAAAGGGUGCGCAGGCGGCUCGGCAAGCCGGCGGGAAAAUCGGGGGGCUCAACCGCGCUCCGCCGUUGAAACUGGCGUUCUUGAGUGGGCGAGAAGUAUGCGGAAUGCGUGGUGUAGCGGUGAAAUGCAUAGAUAUCACGCAGAACUCCGAUUGCGAAGGCAGCAUACCGGCGCCCAACUGACGCUGAAGCACGAAAGCGUGGGUAUCGAACAGGAUUAGAUACCCUGGUA
rnacentral:rRNA from 1 species